UAGGGAAUCUUCCACAAUGGACGAAAGUCUGAUGGGGCAACGCCGCGUGAACGAUGAAGGCCUUCGGGUCGUAAAGUUCUGUUGUAAGGGAAGAACAAGUGCCGCAGGCAAUGGCGGCACCUUGACGGUACCUUGCGAGAAAGCCACGGCUAACUACGUGCCAGCAGCCGCGGCAAUACGUAGGUGGCAAGCGUUGUCCGGAAUUAUUGGGCGUAAAGCGCGCGCAGGCGGCCUCUUAAGUCUGAUGUGAAAGCCCCCGGCUCAACCGGGGAGGGCCAUUGGAAACUGGGAGGCUUGAGUAUAGGAGAGAAGAGUGGAAUUCCACGUGUAGCGGUGAAAUGCGUAGAGAUGUGGAGGAACACCAGUGGCGAAGGCGACUCUUUGGCCUAUAACUGACGCUGAGGCGCGAAAGCGUGGGGAGCAAACAGGAUUAGAUACCCUGGUAGUCCACGCCGUAAACGAUGAGUGCUAGGUGUUGGAGGGUUUCCGCCCUUCAGUGCUGAAGCUAACGCAUUAAGCACUCCGCCUGGGGAGUACGGUCGCAAGGCUG
rnacentral:rRNA from 1 species